AUGAGCCGGGAUCCUUCAGGCUUCAUGGUGCCGAGCGCGCACGGCGCCAGUGUUGAUCCCCUCCUCCGGGCUGAAUGGAUCCCGGAUGGCAACGGAGGCGGCAUUACGAGGUGGAAGGACGCACCGCCGGACACCUUGAUUCCAUGCACCGCGAAGCAGAUAAAAGACAUGGGCACAGGGAUCAUUGACGCGUCGAACUUUCUCACUGCAACGGGCGUGGAGGUGACUACGGUCAGGCUGCUAGGAAAAAUGGUGAAUAAGCAAGUGUCUGAUAACUCCGUCUUCUUCACCCUGGCCGACGAGACGGGUUGCGUCAAGGCACGCGUCUGGUUCGAGAACGGCAUCGAUGUCAUGUGUUCAGCGAGCAUCAGUGAUGGUGUGUACGUCAAAUUAACCGGUCGCUUGCGUGCCGAGCUCGGCGUGCCCGUAGUUGCAGCCUAUUCAUUGAGUGUGGUGACAAAUUUCAACGAUAUCACUCAUCAUUUCCUGGACUGCAUCUAUGUUCAUCUGAUGAUGCGAAGCGACCAUGCUAAACGCGUCGUGCACUCUCUUGCUCUCAUCCCAUUUGCCGCAUCCGCACCACUGGCUAGCACUGCACGCCGUGUCCCAGAGCGUCGUUUGAGUGUGAAGGCCGAGGAAGAAAAUCUCACUGAUAUGAUAAUGGGAUUUCUGGACCAGCCGGGGAUCGGCGCACUCGAGCAUGGAGUUAGUGUGAACCUGGUGGUGGAACAUCUUGGUAUACCAGAAUCAGAAGCAAGAUCGACGCUCGACAAGCUUGCUGAUCUCGGAUGCGUGUUCCAGACAAUUGACGAUGACCACUUCAAAUCUUGUGCUGAAUAG
rnacentral:rRNA from 1 species